rnacentral:rRNA from 1 species
GACGAACGCUGGCGGCGUGCCUAAUACAUGCAAGUCGAACGCUGAAGGAGGAGCUUGCUUCUCUGGAUGAGUUGCGAACGGGUGAGUAACGCGUAGGUAACCUGCCUGGUAGCGGGGGAUAACUAUUGGAAACGAUAGCUAAUACCGCAUAAUAGUAGAUGUUGCAUGACAUUUGCUUAAAAGUUGCAAUUGCAUCACUACCAGAUGGACCUGCGUUGUAUUAGCUAGUUGGUGGGGUAACGGCUCACCAAGGCGACGAUACAUAGCCGACCUGAGAGGGUGAUCGGCCACACUGGGACUGAGACACGGCCCAGACUCCUACGGGAGGCAGCAGUAGGGAAUCUUCGGCAAUGGACGGAAGUCUGACCGAGCAACGCCGCGUGAGUGAAGAAGGUUUUCGGAUCGUAAAGCUCUGUUGUAAGAGAAGAACGAGUGUGAGAGUGGAAAGUUCACACUGUGACGGUAUCUUACCAGAAAGGGACGGCUAACUACGUG